GACGAACGCUGGCGGCGUGCCUAACACAUGCAAGUUGAGCGACGAACCAGGGCUUGCCCUGGGGCAAAGCAGCGAACGGGUGAGUAACACGUGGGUAACCUACCCCGAUAACCGGGACAACCCGAGGAAACUCGGGCUAAUACCGGAUGUGCUCACUGGACUUCGGUUCAGUGCGUAAAGGAAGCUUCGGCCUCCGUAUCGGGAGGGGCCCGCGGCCCAUUAGUUUGUUGGUGAGGUAACGGCUCACCAGGACCGCGAUGGGUAGCUGGUCUGAGAGGACGAUCAGCCACACUGGGACUGAGACACGGCCCAGACUCCUACGGGAGGCAGCAGUGGGGAAUCUUGCGCAAUGCGCGAAAGCGUGACGCAGCACCGCCGCGUGGGGGAAGAAGGCCUUCGGGUUGUAAACCCCUUUCAGGAGGGACGAAGGUUCGGCGGUGAAUAGCCGUCCGGACUGACGGUACCUCCACAAGAAGCCCCGGCUAACUACGUG
rnacentral:rRNA from 1 species